GGUCCCGUAGCUCAGUGGAUAGAGCGGGCGCCUCCUAAGCGUCAGGUCGCGCGUUCGAAUCGCGCCGGGAUCGCCA
rnacentral:tRNA from 1 species